rnacentral:misc_RNA from 1 species
GCACUCUCACACCUAACCUUUGGGGAUAAAGUGUGGAAUUGGGAUGCGCCAGUUUGCAAAGAUUGGCCCUCUUAAAAUUCAGUUCUUGGCUGUUUUCAAUAUGAGCAGUUUGGCCUAAUAGUUUUGGCUCUUUUGUCAAAUCUUUGGCUUCAUUCGCUUCUGAAAAUCAGUCUUGAUAUACAGAAAACUCAUUCAAA